rnacentral:tRNA from 1 species
GUUUCUGUAGUUGAAUUACAACGGUGGUUUUUCAAGUCACUAGUCUUGGUGAAAGUCCUGGUAGAAACU